AUGUUGUUUACCAUAUCUCUACCUCCCAAGCCCAUCCUACAAAACAGUCACUCUGUGUUGGAAACAGAAAUUACAUCCUCUAAGAUAUUUACAGGACUUAUUCACAGCCCAGUGUUGCUUGCAGAACACAGCUUUACAGAACACAGCUUUACAGAACCCAUCCAGGGAAUAUUUCAGCAGAGAAGCAAUUAUCACUUCUCCAUCUCCUGCAAAGGAAAGUCAGCUUCUCCUGCUGUGUGUGACCUGUGGUUGCAACGUGGAAAUGGAAACUUGGAACCUCUGUGUGAGGAGGAUCCUGAGACACUGGAAUUCAGCACAGAUUUCUUCUUUUCCUUAGACCUUUACCAGCUUAAAUCACCUGAAGAUAUGGCUUGAACUCUUGAAUACAUUUUAUGGACCAUAAAUUUAAAAAGAGGAAACAAUUUGAUCCCUUCUUAUUAACCUUUAAAAUUAUUCUCCUCUUCAAACCCAGUGGAGUCUCUGCUGAAGCAGCAGAUACUCUGCACAAAUGUGAAGUGACCAGUGUGAAGAGAACUGGCUGGAAGCUGAUGAGAAAUGUAAUCCCAGAAAAGCCCUCUGUUCUAUAUAAAUUAAGGCAAUUAAGGCUCAUUGAAAACUCCUCUGGACCCACUGUCAAAGCAAAUAAACAACCACCCAGCAGUGCGUGAAUGUGUAAU
rnacentral:lncRNA from 1 species